rnacentral:rRNA from 1 species
CCUACGGGAGGCAGCAGUGGGGAAUAUUGCACAAUGGGCGGAAGCCUGAUGCAGCAACGCCGCGUGCGGGAUGAAGGCCUUCGGGUUGUAAACCGCCUUCAGUGGGGACGAAUUUGACGGUACCCACAGAAGAAGCACCGGCUAACUUCGUGCCAGCAGCCGCGGUAAU